GGAUGCUGACUGGGAAGACUCUGACUGAAUACGGAGACGCCAUCGCGCCGGGGAUCCCAACAGCCAGGACAAGUCCGCCGCUUCCGACAGCCACGAAAGUCGCCUAGUCUUCUCGCGAGAUCUACAGUAUGAAGCCACCCAAGACAAGCCAUAGCCCGAUGACUACAGCUCCAUGUGAUAUGGACGCACUAAGAGUCCUCUCUCCAUCUGCUUAUACUUUUUUGGAAGAAACCCAUAGUAAGUUCACAGCAGUAACUUUUUUUUUUACUACUUAUUUAUAUGUAAAUCAACAUGUCAAGUUCUAAUGGCUAGGGUACCUGGCCUUUUCUUAGGUCAAAUGCAGCUCUCCCAUCGGCUACAAAUCAUUAAUAAAUCUUAAGUAUAUUCGCAGAUUCCACAUGGCAGCCUGCAGUAUAUUCCUGCAAGAAAAUAUGUAGGGACAGUGCAUUAAACCCAGUGUAGGGUGGGGUCUUUCUCUCCUGACUACUUGUUCCUCCGUUACUGCAAAGCCCCCUGCUCCCUCUGACCAUCAAGGUUUUGAAUGCCUUUACCAACUGCUUGUUAUUUUCUCAAGCAGUUAAGGGAUAGACGACAAUGACUUGACAGUUUCUUGGACUUUGUUAGUGAUUAGUUUGUCAUCUCACUGAUUUUUAAGAAAUGCUAUAUGACUGAAAUAUAAUUUUAGAGACGUUUGUUAAGUUGCAACAAAAUCUCCUCCUCACUUCAAGCAAUCAGGACUCAUUCUUACUAGAUUAAUAGUCCUAGAAUGUCUUUUUUGCAUCGUGUUCCCUACGAUGUAACUGCAAUUUUCACGGGGCACAAAGAGAGACAAAGCCCAAGAAUGAAUGGUGCAGGUAUCUAAGCUACUAAAUUGUGAAUAAAAUCAGCAGAUGAUUGUCCCUGAGUUUUUAACAUGCAGAUUUGUGUUUGGAAUUCACUGAAUGAUGGGGCAGUUUUUCUGACAAAAAAUGCGGUAUUCAGAAUCUGUGUGCCUAUAGAAAUCCAACUGGCAGAACUGAGCUUAUGGGUGGUACACUUUUCAUUGGUGCAUAUAUCAGCUCUCGGCGUCAUUAGGUUUAUAUACAUGGAGAUGUUACGGUCUCUGGCAUGCCUGAGAGUUGUCUCUGAUGUUCUGGGUACCUUUCCACACUGCAGUGGUUGCUUUCUUGACAAGGUGCCACGGCUUCAGUGGAUGGAGCAGCAGAGACUCACAUUCUCACAGUUCUGGAAUUUGGAACGCCUCAACUACUAUGUUGCAGGGCUGGUUUCAUCUGAGGUUUGCUCCUUCCUUUACAGAGGCUGGACAAGUCCUUAAAGAAAACGCCAGCAGCUGUAGGAAGAUACAGCCAAGUGCUUUUCACAGAAGCAGCAUGCAUUUGCUUUUAGAGACCUACACUCAGGCAGGACAGGGUCCUGUGCCAGAGAAUGGUUUAGAAUGGACAAUAGUGAGGUAAACUUAGUAAUCUUAAGUUCUCAGGAAAAGGACAGUAUACAAUUUCAAGAAACGAAUGGCGGCCUCUCAAUAGAGACGUGCCUGGGUGUCUUUACUGUAGCUACAUUUAUGAUUUUGUAGUCCCUAAGUUAUAUUACCCAAAUGGUCUAAUUUAGAACAAGAUCUAGAGAUUGAACAAGGCUUAAAUUUGAAAGCUAAAUACCAAUUUUAAAACUUGGUUUACUUAUUUCUCCCAUCUAAAAGCAUUUUUUCUUUUAUGAAUAAAACUGUGAGGCAGAUUCAUGGGGUGGGGUUUAUAUAUGAGAAGGAAGGGCUGCUAGGUAAACCAGAAGGGAAAGCUUAUUGAAUAUGAGCAAGCAUGGUUCCUACGUUGGUUUUAGCAUCCUCGAUUGAGGUAUCUUUAAGAAAACACACAUCUUUGUUGGCAAUUUUGUCAUUGUUUGUUAUGAAGCCUCUUUGACUUUGAGUCAGUGGGAGAGUCAAGGAUAUCUUUCCUUUCAUAUUUCCUUUCAUUUUCUCCACCUUUCUGUGUUUCUUCACAAUGAUGUGCUGGUGAGCCAUAACCAUUGCCGUGCUAUAUGUCCUUUGUCAGGAGUAUAAGUGGGGACAUUUGUUUAAUAAGGACUCACCCCCCCUCUUUGAUACAGUUUUAAUAUACACAUGUGCUCGUGUGUUUCCAAUGGAAUUUGAUACAUUCAUUAGACUCUAUAUUUGAAAGGGUACGUUAUCAGUCUGUAUCUUAUGACUGGUGCUGGACAAGUGGCAGCAUCCAUGUACACAACGAGAUGCAUUAUUCUGCUUCUGCAUUCACACCCACUAUGAAGCCACAUGCUGCUUGUAGAAUAGAAUUAUUCAGGGCAAGACACAGGCUGAAAGCCACUGCUUCACAUAGUUCAUAGUCACUUAGAAAAAGGAAUGGCCUGAUCUCCCUACAGUUCCUUGGUCUAAUUCUGUGUAAGCUAUACUGAUAGGCUUUCUGGGAGAGUGCUUGGGAGAAAUGACAGAAAGGCCUUUAAUGUCUUGCUUUGCUCCUCAGAUUCAUGGUCUUCACUUAACAGCAGGAACCGUUUCUGUAUUUUUUAGCAAUAAGGUAUUUAUCCUAACUAUCCCAGGAUAUCUUCUAUUUAUCUCUUUCAAUGCAUACGACCUACACUUCAGAUUCUGGCUCUUUAUUUAAUUUAAUUAAUUAAUUUAUUUUGGCAUAAGGCAGAUGUUAUGAAGACAAAAUAGCAAAACACUGUUUCUUUUGUUUGUUUCAUUAUUUUAUGAACUACAAUACCAUGGCUCAUCUGCUUCUCUGAUUAUCACAACCUAUUGCAUAUUGUUCUUGGAAGAGAUUUAAAGGACAAGAGCAUUAUUUUAGAAGCUGUAGUCAAUAGCUUGAUCCACAUGACUGUGUGGCUCAUACUGUGCUAUGUAAUGUUCAUAUCAUUAAUUAACCAAUUAUCUACAGAGCUCUUCCAUCCUGGGCUGGAUCCAUGGGUGACCUAGCAGUAAACCUUUUACUGACAAUAUGAGUGUGUUUACUUUGCUGUCUUCAUUUGCUUUCUAACACACCUAGUUCAGGUUUCUCUUUUACAUGCUUUGAUGAAGCCAUAUGAGGAGGAUGUAAAUUCUACCUUAAAUGGCUUCCAGUAUAUUAGAGAAUAUAGGUGACUAACUAACUCUUCAGAAAGAAGGUGGACACUUGCUCCAUGGCAGGGAGACGGACUUGGGUCAGGCUUUAUAUCUUUUCUCUUCUUACAUGACCCAAAUGGAAUUGUACAUCCACAUACCCCAUACAGUUUCCUGGAGCUAUAGGCAAGCUCAGGUUGAAGAGGCAGCAAGCCAGCCAUGAAGUUAUUUGGGCUUCAUGUGGUGAGACAGACUUAUGGUGUCUGUCAUCACAUAAUUUUGGAUUUUAUUUUUGUGGCUGCUAAGAUUAACUUAUGAGAAAUUUUCCCUUGUUCAAGUUUGGAUAGCUGUUAACAAUAUUAAUAGCAUGUCACAUUUAUUUAUUGAGUUCUAGACUAAGAUAAUGAACAUUAUCUUUCAAGAAGGGUUCCAGGAAGUCACCAGAACCCUCUGCAGUGAAGUCCCACACCACUCUGUUCCAGCUCCCAGGGGAACAUCCUGCAGGCGUCCCUUUUGCCACCUUCAGUCAGAUACAAAUCCCACCUGAAGAAGGCAAUGUGCCUUCCACAGGCUGCUAUCCCUCCUUUGCCAAAUUUAUAAUGGAAACUCUGCACCUCAGGGCUCUCCCCCACUAGGCAUGUUCUUUCCCUCUUUACCAAAGGCCAUGUCUCCCCAAUUUAAAAUAUUUUUGAAAUGAAGCUUCUCUCUCAUCAUAAAUUCCUUCCUACUGAACUUUUAUUGACACAUAUAUUCACCACUUGGCUGAAUAGUGUUGUUCUCUGGCAGUGGUAUGUAAGAAAGGGGCUGCUGAAAGCGUUCAGAAGGUGAAGGAGCUUGCCACAGAAACAUGACAACUAGAGUUUGAUCCUUGGGUUUGCUAUGAAAAUAGUGUCCUAUGAUCUCACAUUCAUGCCUUAGCUUACGCACCUUCCUCCACAACAACAAUAAUAUAUUUUUUAAAGAAAAUAAUACUUUGGAGAGUUCUUGUUAAGAAGAAUGGAAGGUAGAUUAAGAAAGAUAGGAGAGGAAAGAGGAAAGAAUAUGGGCCAGGCAAUUUGGAGGAUACUGUGGAGAUCGUUGGGUGGAGGUAACUAGCAAGAACCAGUUGAGGAUUAUUCUAAUCAGGUUUCUCCUGCUGUGGUAAACACUAUGACCAAAAGCACCAUGGGGCGUUACUUUAUCUGACAGUUUACGGUUCAUCAUGACUGAAAGCUAAGGUAGGAAAUCAAGGCAAGAACUUGAAGCAAAACCCUGAAGGAAUUCUGUCCUUUGGCUUCCUUCCCAUGACUUGCUCAGUUUGAUUUCUCAUUUCUUGUAGCACCUAGAUGACACAACUGCAAGUGAGUCGGGUUCUCCUAUAUAAAUCCUCAUUAAAAAUGUCCUUUGGACACGCUGACAGGCCAUGUUGAUGGAGAUAAUUCUUCAGUUGAGGUUCCCUCUUCCAAAGUGACUCCACUUUGUCUUACGUUGGCAAAAACUAACCAGCACAAGGAUAAAAAUGUGGCUUUUAUAGAUGUCCUGACUGAGCUGCAUACGUGCAAUCAAACUGUAGCACGGAGAAAACAUGAAGAAUGCUGAGGCUAUAUAUUUGCUUUGUGGCUUGUUAAUAUGAAGACAGUAAAAUUGAUCAGAUGAAGAAAUCCCAGGUCAAAGGUGGGAGAGGCUGAUCACCUCAGGUACCAUACCAAAGAAGGGAGGUGAUAGAAGCCAGUCCUUCCUAUUGGUGGCUCCAAAUGUGAAAGUCUGAGACUUGACUCCAGUGAGUUGAUACCAGUUACAGAGCAGAUCAAGAGAAUUAUACACGAAUACCCUGGGCAUUUCUAAAUCACCAAAGAUGGAAAUGAUCAUCCAUCAGUGACAUUCGGAGACGAGAGGAACUCUGUGCUUGAAUGUGGGUUCCUGCUUACAGGUGGAAGCGGGCUUUGCUCUUAUGCUGCUCAGUGACCUACAAGGAAAAUGUGAAUUUAAAGAUAUUUAAAAAGCACCCCAAGUUCAGGGCACUAUGUUUCUUUCCCUUUCUUUCUCAUUUUUCUUGUUCUUUGAAUUUUUGAAACAGGGUCUUGUUUUGUGACCCAGAAUAGCCUUUAACUCAUAAUAUAUCUCAACUGCCAUGCAGUCUGACAACUGCCCUGGAUUUGGAUGAUAAAUUAUGUGCUCUCCUUGAUGCUAUGGGUACAUGAUCAGGUCACAAUGCCUAAGAACUCUACAUAGAAAAGAUUCCCCAGAGCUGAGCAGGCUGUGGCAUGCAUGCCCAAUGUCAUCCACUUGUCGUGCCCUUACUUGAGCUUUCUGAAUUCUUGGCUUUCUGUGAUUGGACUGAACACAUGACUGACAAACAUUUGGCAGCCACUUUGAGGUCAUCAUUUAUCAUCUCCUGGGACUCCUACAUUUCUCUGGUUGGACCCUUCCCUUGGUUUACUCUUCCUUUGGAGUUUAGUUCUUUUAGGAAGUUCCUGAGACAGAGAGAAAUGUGCUAAAUAACUUCUCGUGGUAUUCUGGCUGAUUCUGGACAGCUCCACUGUGGUGGAGCCUAACUGCUUCUGCUGGACGAUGCUGCUCCUACCAUUCAUGUUUGGUGUUUGCUAUUGAUCUGGACUGCUGGUAUCCUGACAACGAAGAGUGGAAUCAACCCUCAUCAACUACUUACUUCUAAAUAAGUCCACAACUCCCUUUUCCUAUUAAUCUUCUUUUUCCCUUACUUCUGGUUGGUGGGCUAGAAGGCAGGUUGAAACAUUUAAGAACUCUAAAUAAAGUGGGUUUGAAAAGUCUAAGCCUAUAAAUGUUUUCUUCAGGAAGUGAUUAUAUCACUAUGUAAACUCCUCAGAAUAGGUUUUUGUUUCUUUUGUUUUGUUUUGUUUGUUUGGCAGUAUUCAGGAUUGAGGCUAGGGGCUCAUGCAUGCAUUACCACUCAACUAGUGUCCCAAUCUGAAUGCAAUGCCUCGAUUUCUGUCACAGUUUUCUUCUGCUGAUAUCUGUUUUGUCAAUGCUGAAGCUUUCUUCUCACCACUAGCAGCAUAGUGAACUUUCUCCUUUCUUGAUGGAUAUGCCAUGUACAUGUCGCAUGUGUGUGUAUGUGUGAGUGUGUCUUCGUCUAUGUGUGUUGCAUGCUGGGAAUAAAGCCCGCGACUUUGACCAUGAUAGACAGAUGUUCUAUUAUUGAUCUUUAUUGCCAGCACCUUCAAGUACACUUUAAGUGAUGUUCUCAUAUUUCUUGGAUUUUUGUUGUUGUUUUUCUCCUACUUUAUUAGUUCUUUGAGAAUUUUAUACAAUGUAUUUUGAUCACAGUCAUUUCCACUUCUAAACUUUUCCAAGAUCCACCUGAGUCACUAUCUGCCUACUUUGUGCUCUCCUUUUCUUUUUAAAGGAACCUACUAAGUAUUGUUUAUGGUACCCAAAUACUCUUAGAUGUUUGAAAUUCCAGUGGAAGUUGCUUGACUAACCAGGAGCUUCAGCAUUAAAGAAAGCUGACUCCUGAGACUUCUUGCCCACCUCUGCUCUACAUGCUGGGAUUUUGUCUUGAGCUUGUGCAGUUCUUCUGUGUAAUGGCACAAUGGCUAUGAAUUCAUGUGUGUAACUACCCUGCUGUGUGCAGGAUACUCUGCUUCUUUGUGGUCAAGUACCACCUUUGGCUCUCAUAAUCUUUCUGCUCUACCCCCUCUCAAUGAUCCCUGAGCCUUAAGAGGAAGGAGGUAUGACAUAGAUGUCCCAAGUAGGAAGGAACAUUCUACUGUCCCUUUUUGUCUACACAGUAGCUAGUUUUGGGUCUUUUUGUUAAUUGCCAUCUACUGUAAAAAUAAAAUAGAGUAAAACUAACAAACAAAACCCAAAGGUUUCUCUGAUGAGGGUCAAGAGGUAUACUAAUCUAUGGGUAUACUAGUAAGUCAUUAGAAGUUAGUUUAACAUUAUGUCUAUUUAGCAGAGUAGUAGUGAUAGGUUUUCUCCUAGGGCCAAUGACUUAUCUAGUCACACUGUAUUUAUUAGACAAUGAUGCCAAAUAUGGGCUUCAACUUUGGAGAGGACAGGAAAUCUCAUCAGAAAUUGGUUGGUUAUUUAAUGGCCUAUGUGAUACUACUGCACCAGUGGGCAUGUGUUGGCCAUUAUUGUAACUCACAGGGUUCACAGCUGGGUAACACUGAUUAUUACCAGCAUUACUCUCCUUUGGUGGCAUGGAGGGAUAUAGCACUUUCCAGUAUUAGGAAAACCAGCCAGUAGGAAUGAAGUUUCCAUACAAGUCCCAGCUUGAUUUCUCCACGUUCUAUUACUCAACCCAACAUUCUUUAAUGAUAAUAAUCCUUGAGAAACUAGAAGUACAUGGGAUAUAUCUCAGCAUAAUAAAGACAAUAUAUAUUAAGCCUCAGUCUACAUCUUGCUAAAUGGAAAAAAAAACUUCAAGCAUUUUCACAAAAAUCAGUAAUAGGACAAGGAUGUCCACUCUCCCACUUCCUGUUCAGAUAAUAAUUGAAGUCUUAGAUGGUCAAUGAAAUGAAUUAAGGUUAUACAAGUAGGAAGGAGUCAAAGUAUCCUUAUUUGAAGAUGAUACAGUCCUAUAAACAAAGAGCCUAAUGACUACACCAGAAAUAUCCUAUAGCUGAAAAACACAUUCAACAAGCUAGUAGCUCCUAGUUAAAGGUUACUUUCUGUGAUGAAGCACCCUGACAAUAAGCAUCUCAGGGAAGAAAGGGCUCAUUUAAUCUGACACCAGGGAAGUAGGGCAGGAACUUAAGGCGGGACCCUGGGUGUAGAACUUACACAGAGGCCAUGGAAGUAUGCUUCUCACUGGGCUACUCUUUCUGGCUGCUUAGUCUGUUUUUCCACAAAAGUUAGGACCUUAUGCCCAGGGUUACCUUGCUCCAUAUAGGCUAGGCUCACUCCUUAAUAAGAAAAUUCCCCAUAGACAAUCUGGAUGGAGGUAUUUUUCUCAGUUGAGAUUCCUCCUGUAGAUAAUUCUAACUUGUGUGAAGUUGACAAAAACAAGUCACACAAGGAAGCUCUAUAUCAAACACACAAAAACCAUCAGUCUUUCUACAUACAAACAAGAAGCAUCAUUAGAAAUAAUCAGGAAAUAAUAGCAAAACCACAACAGAGUCAAAGUUAUCUUGUAAAAAUCUAAUCAAGGAAGUAAAAUACUUGUUCAAUGAAAAGUUUAAGACAAUGAAAAAGUUGGAGAUAUCUAAAAAUCGACAGAGCUCUCAUUGCUCAUGGAUUGGUAGAAUUAGUAUUGUAAAAAUGGCCAUUCUACCAAAUGCCACUCACAGUUUGCUGUUAUUAGAAACAUCCAUGCCUUUUAUGUGCUUGCAUUCUAGCUUGUAAGAUCCCAUUCAUCUACAUGGAGCUCCAGUUCUUCUCCUGGAUGAACCAACCCAAUGCCAGCAACAUUGGAGUGUUUUGAGUUCUAACACUUACAUUGAUUUAUUCAUAGAGGUUCCAUAUUUAUAACUUUUCUAUGUUUCUGGAUAUUGCUUUCUUUUUCUAUAAGGUCCCUAAAAUAUCAUUCAUAACUAGUAUAAUAAAUACCCUGUCUUGUGUUUAUAAAGUCUGCACCAUGCCUAUGUCUGUGCUUUUCUUAACAUUGCUCUUUGAGAUAUAUUUUUGUUUUUCUCAUGUAUUAUGAGGUCAAAAAUCAAACGAGCUUUUUUUCAGCUACCAGAAACUCAAGACAGUAUAUCUAUAGUAUAUAGUACAUAGUAUAUAGUAU